GACGAACGCUGGCGGCGUGCCUAAUACAUGCAAGUCGAACGCAGUGGGGACGGGUGAGUAACACGUGGUUAACCUCCCAUCAGAGGGGAUAACACUUGGAAACAGGUGCUAAACCGAUACUGAUGGAUGGACCCGCUGUGCAUUAGCUAGUUGGGGAGGUAACGUGUCACCAAGGCCACGAUGCAUAGCCGACAUGAGAGAGUGUACGGCCACACUUGGACUGAGACACGGCCCAGACUCCGACGGGAGGCAGCAGUAGGGAAUCUUCGGCAAUGGACGAAAGUCUAAUCGAGCAACGCCGAGUGAGUGAAGAAGGUUUUCGGAUCGUAAAACUCUGUUGUUAGAGAAGCGGUAUCUAACCAGAAAGCAACGGCUAACUACGUGCCAGCCGCCGCGGUAAUAC
rnacentral:rRNA from 1 species